AGGGUAAUAGAGGAGUUGGUCGUCCUCGCUUGCUUUGGGCGCAAGAGAUCCCUGGUUCGAAUCCAGGUUACCCUA
rfam:Chryseolinea serpens strain DSM 24574 genome assembly, contig: Ga0070524_106